UCCUUGGUGACGCUGAGGGACUUCAAAACCGGGCG
rnacentral:tRNA from 1 species